UGGGGAAUAUUGGACAAUGGGCGAAAGCCUGAUCCAGCAAUUCCGCGUGUGUGAAGAAGGCCUUCGGGUUGUAAAGCACUUUAGUGGGGGAAGAAACAGCUUGGCCACACCAAGCCUUGACGGUACCCCAAGAAUAAGCACCGGCUAACUCUGUGCCAGCAGCCGCGGUAAUACAGAGGGUGCAAGCGUUAAUCGGAUUUACUGGGCGUAAAGGGUGCGUAGGUGGUUUUUAAGUCGGAUGUGAAAGCCUGGGGCUCAACCUCAGAAUUGCAUUCGAUACUGGGAAACUAGAGUUCGGUAGAGGGCGGCGGAAUUUCCGGUGUAGCGGUGAAAUGCGUAGAUAUCGGAAGGAACAUCAAUGGCGAAGGCAGCCGCCUGGGCCUGGACUGACACUGAGGCACGAAAGCGUGGGUAGCAAACA
rnacentral:rRNA from 1 species